rnacentral:rRNA from 1 species
AUGGCGCCGCCGCCGCCAAGCUCCCACCAAAGCCCACCGCCGCCGCCGUCCAUCGCGGAUAUUCCGGAAGUGUUGCUCGAGGACAUCUUCCUCCGCCUCCCCGAUGCCGCCGACCUGGCCCGCGCCUCCACCGCCUGCGCCUCCUUCCGCCACGUCAUAGCCGGCCACGCCUUCCUCCGCCUCUACCGCGUCCUCCACCCGCCGCCCCUCAUCGGCGUGCUCCAAGAUCCCUUCAUCCCAGCCCAGCCGCCGCACCCCUCCGCCACCACAGCCCGCGCCUUCACCGGAUUCAAUUUCUCAUGCUCCUCUUUACUCCCCUCCACCGCCGGGCGCUCCUGGAGUCAAGUUGACUUCUUUCACGGCCGCGCCCUCCUAGCCAGCGACCCGGCCAAGGAAAAAACCGGGGCCAUGGGCGCUGAGGUGUGCCAAUUUUUUGUCAGGGAACUCGCUGUGUGCGACCCCGUGCACCGCCGCUACAUCGUGCUGCCCGCCCUCCCCGUCGGCCUGAAAGCGCUUGUCCGUAAACCCGACGUCCUCAGUCUGGAGACGUUCCUUGCUCCUGGCGAGGAUGAGGAUCCUUUAUCAUUCAAGGUGAUGUGUUUGGCCAAAUGCAGAAUGAAUCUGCUGCUUGUGGUCUCCUCCUCCUCUUUGGAUAGACAGUGGCAUGCUCGUACGUUUGACCAAUGGAGCGCUCCGGCUGUGUUUGCUUCAGUUGAGAACUCUGAGCAUGGGCUGUCCUACUCCAAUCAUCAAUAUGCCAACAGAUGCUUCUAUUGAUGUUUGCAUUUCCUGAGCAAGUUGCUUGUGCUUGAUGUGUGCGCAAUGAAGUUCUCUGUUGUCGACCUCCCUCCUGAUCAAAACUGGACAAGUGAGUUUGCCAUUCUGGAGACAACUGAAGGAACGCUCGGGAUGCUCACUAAAGAUAGCGAUGAUGAUCCAUAUUGGCUAGCGUAUUCCAUUAUGAGGAAUAACCAGUGGCACUCGGAGAAGGUCAUCCUGUUGCCUGUAAAGCGUGCUGUUUUCAUUGGUGUAGCCGGUGGAUACCUGCUCAUGGAAGCGUUGUACACCACAUCUUUGCCAGAGGAGCUGAAGUUAGGAUGCCUUUUGGUGGACGUGAAGACGUUGCAGGUCGAGUUGUUUGCUAAGCUUAGCAAACCCAUCUUACAUGGUCUAUUAUAUGCUGGAUUCCCACCAUCAUUGUCUGCACCAACUAUAUGA